AUGCUGUGGAGAAAUGUCAGAGAGAAUGUCAAGUGGUGUGUUAGCUGUGUGUGUGUGUGUGUGUGUGUGUGUGUGUGUGAGAGAGAGAGAGAGAGAGAGAGAGAGAGUGAGAGAGAUCACACCAGAAGAAUAAGAGUGUCCCAAAAACCGCCCAGGUGAGGAGUCCACUAACGGCUUUGGUGGAGGUGACAAUCUUCUGCUUGCAGUAGCCACAUGUCAUUGAUACAGAAAUCUUACCCACAGCAGUAGGACCCUGGACAACUACAGGGGGCGGAGCUUGUUCAAUGACGACUUGUGGAGGUGCAGCCUGGAAGACUACAGGAGGCGGAGCUUGUUCAAUGAUGACAGGUGGAGGUGGAGCCUGGAAGACUACAGGAGGCGGAGCUUGUUCAAUGAUGACAGGUUGUGCAGGGACAUCAAUAACGAACGCCAUACUGUGUGGAAGAAGAGGCGGAGACUAAUGUGCACUGAUUCUGCUGCAGCUGUGGGGAAAGAUGACGGAAAAUCUAAAUAACAUUGAAAAUCUGUCUAAAUAUUAUAGAUUUGAAUUUAAGGCACAUGAUCUGCAUUGUGCUCAUCACAUGUCUUUCACACUAGUGUCCAUGAAGACAUCUGAAGACAUGUGGCAGAGAAUUCAGCUGUGAACUCAGAUGAGCUGAAAUCUCAUCCCAUCCACAGUUCCCCUCAUCUCUCUGCGCAGGUUUAAUGAAAUACGUUUGCUGACACUUCAUGAUUCACCGCUGCACAGAUUUAUAAGGUGAAAACUUACCUGUGUGCUGAGCGUCGAUCCUCUCUGAGUGUCGCUGCUCAGACUGAAUCCCACUUAGACGUCACCAGCGUUAUUACACUGCAAAAAAGAGAAACAGAAGACAGAAGGACUAAAGAAAAAAAGAUGGUCAAACUAACACCACCUCCUUAGCACUGAUACCAUCAAUGAUAUCAUCAACCACCAUCAACCAUGC